AUUGAACGCUGGCGGCCGGCAUAACACAUGCAAGUGGAACGAGUGGAGGACGGGUGAGUAAAGUCUGGGAAACUGCCUGCAGGAGGGGGAUAACUACUGGAAACGGUAGCUAAUACAGAGUCCCAUGGGAUGUGACCCGAUGGGAUUUGCUAGUAGGUGGGGUAAAGGCUCACCUAGGCGACGAUCCCUAGCUGGUCUGAGAGGAUGACCAGCCACACUGGAACUGAGACACGGUCCAGACUCCUACGGGAGGCAGCAGUGGGGAAUAGUGCACAAUGGGCGCAAGCCUGAUGCAGCCAUGCCGCGUGUAUGAAGAAGGCCUUCGGGUUGUAAAGUACUUUCAGCGGGGAGGCGUUACCCGCAGAAGAAGCACCGGCUAACUCCGUGCCAGCAGCCGCGGUAAUAC
rnacentral:rRNA from 1 species